rnacentral:rRNA from 1 species
GACGAACGCNGGCGGCGUGCCUAAUACAUGCAAGUAGAACGCUGAAGAGAGGAGCUUGCUCUUCUUGGAUGAGUUGCGAACGGGUGAGUAACGCGUAGGUAACCUGCCCUGUAGCGGGGGAUAACUAUUGGAAACGAUAGCUAAUACCGCAUAACAAUGGAUGACACAUGUCAUUUAUUUGAAAGGGGCAAUUGCUCCACUACAAGAUGGACCUGCGUUGUAUUAGCUAGUAGGUGAGGUAACGGCUCACCUAGGCGACGAUACAUAGCCGACCUGAGAGGGUGAUCGGCCACACUGGGACUGAGACACGGCCCAGACUCCUACGGGAGGCAGCAGUAGGGAAUCUUCGGCAAUGGGGGCAACCCUGACCGAGCAACGCCGCGUGAGUGAAGAAGGUUUUCGGAUCGUAAAGCUCUGUUGUAAGUCAAGAACGAGUGUGAGAGUGGAAAGUUCACACUGUGACGGUAGCUUACCAGAAAGGGACGGCUAACUACGUGCCAGCAGCCGCGGUAAUACGUAGGUCCCGAGCGUUGUCCGGAUUUAUUGGGCGUAAAGCGAGCGCAGGCGGUUUGAUAAGUCUGAAGUUAAAGGCUGUGGCUCAACCAUAGUUCGCUUUGGAAACUGUCAAACUUGAGUGCAGAAGGGGAGAGUGGAAUUCCAUGUGUAGCGGUGAAAUGCGUAGAUAUAUGGAGGAACACCGGUGGCGAAAGCGGCUCUCUGGUCUGUAACUGACGCUGAGGCUCGAAAGCGUGGGGAGCGAACAGG